rnacentral:rRNA from 3 species
CGGGACUCUCACGAGGCCUCGUAAUCGGAAUGAGUACACUUUAAAUAUUUUAACGAGGAACAAUUGGAGGGCAAGUCUGGUGCCAGCAGCCGCGGUAAUUCCAGCUCCAAUAGCGUAUACUAAAUUUGUUGCGGUUAAAAAGCUCGUAGUUGCAUUUGUGCGCCGCGCUGUCGGUGCACCGCAUCCGCGGUGAUACUGACACGUCUGCGGAGCAUAUCGUCGGUGAGCCGCCGGUAAAACGGCGGUUCAAUAUCAAAAUCCUAUCGCGGUGCUCUUCAGUGAGUGUCGAGAUGGGCCGACAAUUUUACUUUGAACAAAUUAGAGUGCUCAAAGCGGGCUCAAAACGCUGCUUGAAUAUUUCGUGCAUGGAAUAAUGGAAUAUGAUCUCGGUUCUAUUUUGUUGGUUUUCAGAACUCCGAGGUAAUGAUUAAUAGGGAUAACUGGGGGCAUUCGUAUUGCGACGUUAGAGGUGAAAUUCUUGGAUCGUCGCAAGACGAACAUCAGCGAAAGCAUUUGCCAAAGGUGUUUUCAUCAAUCAAGAACGAAAGUUAGAGGUUCGAAGGCGAUUAGAUACCGCCCUAGUUCUAACCGUAAAUAUGUCAUCUAGCGAUCCGCCGACGUUAAUCAAAUGGCUCGGCGGGCAGCUUCCGGGAAACCAAAGAUUUUGGACUCCGGGGGGAGUAUGGUUGCAAAGCUGAAACUUAAAGGAA